GGCUGGUCUGAAGGUAGUGAGUUAUCUCAGUUGAUUAUUCAGUCACUUGCAGAUCAAAUUCCUUGUUCUACUCUUUACCCCCUUCUCACUGCUGCACUUGACUAUUCGAAA
rnacentral:Y_RNA from 1 species